rnacentral:rRNA from 1 species
CGUGCUAUACAUGCAAGUCGAGCGGACAGAUGGGAGCUUGCUCCCUGAUGUUAGCGGCGGACGGGUGAGUAACACGUGGGUAACCUGCCUGUAAGACUGGGAUAACUCCGGGAAACCGGGGCUAAUACCGGAUGGUUGUUUGAACCGCAUGGUUCAAACAUAAAAGGUGGCUUCGGCUACCACUUACAGAUGGACCCGCGGCGCAUUAGCUAGUUGGUGAGGUAACGGCUCACCAAGGCAACGAUGCGUAGCCGACCUGAGAGGGUGAUCGGCCACACUGGGACUGAGACACGGCCCAGACUCCUACGGGAGGCAGCAGUAGGGAAUCUUCCGCAAUGGACGAAAGUCUGACGGAGCAACGCCGCGUGAGUGAUGAAGGUUUUCGGAUCGUAAAGCUCUGUUGUUAGGGAAGAACAAGUACCGUUCGAAUAGGGCGGUACCUUGACGGUACCUAACCAGAAAGCCACGGCUAACUACGUGCCAGCAGCCGCGGUAAUACGUAGGUGGCAAGCGUUGUCCGGAAUUAUUGGGCGUAAAGGGCUCGCAGGCGGUUUCUUAAGUCUGAUGUGAAAGCCCCCGGCUCAACCGGGGAGGGUCAUUGGAAACUGGGGAACUUGAGUGCAGAAGAGGAGAGUGGAAUUCCACGUGUAGCGGUGAAAUGCGUAGAGAUGUGGAGGAACACCAGUGGCGAAGGCGACUCUCUGGUCUGUAACUGACGCUGAGGAGCGAAAGCGUGGGGAGCGAACAGGAUUAGAUACCCUGGUAGUCCACGCCGUAAACGAUGAGUGCUAAGUGUUAGG